GUGGCAGCCGCCGCGGUAAUACCGGCGGCCCGAGUGGUGGCCACUAUUAUUGGGCCUAAAGCGGCCGUAGCCGGGCCCGUAAGUCCCUGGCGAAAUCCCACGGCUCAACCGUGGGGCUCGCUGGGGAUACUGCGGGCCUUGGGACCGGGAGAGGCCGGGGGUACCCCCGGGGUAGGGGUGAAAUCCUAUAAUCCCGGGGGGACCGCCAGUGGCGAAGGCGCCCGGCUGGAACGGGUCCGACGGUGAGCGCGGAAGGCCAGGGGAGCGAACCGGAUUAGAUACCCGGGUAGUCC
rnacentral:rRNA from 1 species